CUCAUUUUUGUCAUCACAUAUGAUAAAAUUAUAAUGAUACAGAGAUUAGCAUGGCCCUUGAACAAAGAUGACAUGAAAAAUUCUUAAAUGCUUUGUAGGUUUUU
ensembl:snRNA U6 U6 spliceosomal RNA